rnacentral:rRNA from 1 species
UUCCGGUUGAUCCUGCCGGACCUGACUGCUAUCGGAUUGAUACUAAGCCAUGCGAGUCAUUGUAGCAAUACAAGGCAGACGGCUCAGUAACGCGUAGUCAACCUACCCUAUGGACGGGGAUAACCUCGGGAAACUGAGAAUAAUACCAGAUAGAACAUUAUGCCUGGAAUGGUUUAUGUUUCAAAUAAUUUAUUGCCGUAGGAUGGGACUGCGGCCUAUCAGUUUGUUGGUGAGGUAAUGGCCCACCAAGACUAUUACAGGUACGGGCUCUGAGAGGAGUAGCCCGGAGAUGGGUACUGAGACACGGACCCAGGCCCUAUGGGGCGCAGCAGGCGAGAAAACUUUGCAAUGUGCGAAAGCACGACAAGGUUAAUCCGAGUGAUUUCUGCUAAAGGAAUCUUUUGUCAGUCCUAGAAACACUGUUGAAUAAGGGGUGGGCAAGUUCUGGUGUCAGCCGCCGCGGUAAAACCAGCACCUCAAGUGGUCAGGAUGAUUAUUGGGCCUAAAGCAUCCGUAGCCUGCUUUGUCAGUUUUCGGUUAAAUCCAUACGCUCAACGUAUGGGCUGCCGGAAAUACUGCAAAGCUAGGGAGUGGGAGAGGUAGACGGUACUCGGGAGGAAGGGGUAAAAUCCUUUGAUCUCUCGAUGACCACCUGUGGCGAAGGCGGUCUACCAGAACACGUCCGACGGUGAGGGAUGAAAGCUGGGGGAGCAAACCGGAUUAGAUACCCGGGUAGUCCCAGCUGUAAACUAUGCAAACUC